rnacentral:rRNA from 1 species
AACGAACGCUGGCGGCGUGGAUUAGGCAUGCAAGUCGAACGAGAAAGGGUUCGCAAGGACCCGAGUAAAGUGGCGAAAGGGUGAGUAGUACCUAGGUAACCUGCCCUGAAGACGGGGAUAACGUCUCUAACGGGACGCUAAUACCCGAUAUGUCGGCGGCCUCGCAUGGGGUUGCCGGUAAAGAUAGCCUCUGUACACAAGCUUUCACUUCAGGAGGGGCCUCGGGCCUAUCAGCUAGUUGGCGGGGAACGGCCCACCAAGGCUGGGACGGGUAGCCGGUCUGAGAGGAUGGUCGGCCACACUGGGACUGAGACACUGCCCAGACUCCUACGGGAGGCUGCAGUCGAGGAUCUUCUGCAAUGGGCGCAAGCCUGACAGAGCGACGCCGCGUGGGGGAGGAAGGCCU